rnacentral:rRNA from 1 species
CCUACGGGAGGCAGCAGUGGGGAAUCUUGCGCAAUGGACGAAAGUCUGACGCAGCGACGCCGCGUGUGGGAGGACGCCUUUCGGGGUGUAAACCACUGUUGCCCGGGACGAAUCUCCGCUUUCGAGCGGAUUGACGGUACCGGGUGAGGAAGCACCGGCUAACUCCGUGCCAGCAGCCGCGGUAAU